AGAUCCAAUCACGCUAGAUGGAGCAGAGAAAAGAAGGUGCAGCCCAGUUUCGAAGCCCAAGAUACUCUAAUGUGACUUAGCCGAGGAAUUUUACAACUGAAAUGCUUGACAUAUCGUUUUCCAUUUGGCUGUUCGGCCUCGCUCAGAUAGCAUCUUCCACAGAGAAACCUAAGGUUCCUCUCAGAAACUGUUAUUAGGUACGGAGAAGGAAACACAUGUCCUUGAUGAAGUAAGAAAAAUAAAAAAGACUUCGGAAGUUGAAAAUAAUGGCAAAUGGGGAAUGAUACAGCUUUGCAUGGGUUCUAAUAAAAAAAAGUCUCAGAAGAGAAAAAAAUAAUAUUUUCAUAAAAAUCCCUUUUGGAAGGCAUCCAGACAGGCGAGGUCAAUUCUAGCUUGGAGGCAAGCCGCUGUGACUAUUUUGAGAUUUCCAAGCAGGAAAGCCACAGGGGUGAAGUGCAGCUGGAAGAGAGGGAGCCAAGAGUUUCAUCAGCAAAGACUUCAUCUUGACUUGUUUUGCAAAGAAACAAAGGUGGGAGGUCUUUGCUCUUCCUCAGGGAUGUGUUGAAUAUUCAAAAAUAUUAAUUUUGGAGCAACAGUGCCUACAAUUUUGGAAACAAGCUAAGUCAGAGCUAUAGUUGAUUGAAUUGGCAGAAAGCUCCUUUGAAUCUCCUGAGGACGCCCAUUCUAAGUCUCCAUGGCCCUUCAACAAGAAAUCAAAAUGACACAACAUACAGACCAGGAAGUCUCCAGAUGGACUACAACCUCUGGGCACCCCCAAAUGUCCAAUGUCCAACACAAACCAUAAUCCAGUAUUUAAGAUGAGCCUAGAAUUUUUAAUAAUUGCAAGGGAAAUAGCUUCAUUUG
rnacentral:lncRNA from 1 species